ensembl:lncRNA
GGCAUUGUUGCUUUUACUUAAGUAAAAAUCUCCAUAGCUUACUUCUUCCACCACUGCUGUUCACUAUAACUACUUAAACUAUUGUCAACACGCUGGAAUGACAGUCAAACAAAAGUCAAACUAAAAGGAAAAUGCAAAUAGAUCCACCUUUUUCAAAUGUACAACUGUUUAUGUUCACUGUGUGCACUUGGUGACUAAUUAAAAAAUGAACAUACAUGCAUUAAUAUUUGUCUCAGUUUGUAAGAAACGGCAUUAUAACAUUCACAUAGAUGCAAUUUAUCUCAGGGAUAUUGCACUACAUGAUAUUUUACCAGUGCAUAAAUUGUUGAGUCCCUACCUUAUUUAAAUGAAUUGCUGAUAAUAAUAGACCAGGAGAAAGAAAAAAACUUCUCAUGAAGCGUCAUCUCGGUCACAUGAGCUGUUAAUCAAGUCGGGUCAAGAGUUUGGAAAUAGGGGGAGGUUUUGUCUCACGUCCAACUGCUGUACCUAUAAAAUAACAGCUUAGCCACAGUUGUGCUCUAUGCUUGGUAAUAAGUUUAUGCAUUCAUUCAAGUUAGUUCCAAAAGUUUACUGAAGAAAAAAAAAAUCACUGUACAGAAUAUAAGCAGAAGUUUUUUACAUUCUUCAUCACAAACCAUUAAAGAAAAAUAAAAGCUAUUACAAAACUUUGUUGGUUUCCUUGCGCAGUUAUAAAUAGUGGAACAUCUCCUAGCACAGUAUUUCUCCACAUUUUGCUAGAGAUAAGCACAGCAGGUAAACUGCAGAUAAUAACAAGAAGAAACACAAGUUUGUUUUUAACGGAGUGCUUUUCAAAAUCCGUAAAGAUACUUCAAAAGUUCAAAAGAUUUUUAACACUGAAACAAGGAUGUAGCAUAGAAAAUUAGUCACAUUAAAAGCAGUUCUAAAAACAGUGAGCUUUGAUGAAAUUCUUGAACAUAGAACUUGUUGCAGUCAUAGAUGUGUUUGGGGAGAGCAUUUCAGAGGUAAAGUGGAGAAAGCCUCGUCGCCUCCAGAACUGGUGCUUGGUCCU